rnacentral:tRNA from 1 species
GGUUCUAUAGUUUAAUUGGUUAAAACAUCGGCCUGUCACGCCGAAGAGUCCGGGUUCAAUUCCCGGUGGAAUCG